GACGAACGCUGGCGGCGUGCUUAACACAUGCAAGUCGAACGGUGAACCUCUUCGGAGGGGAUCAGUGGAGAACCGGUGAGUGACAGGGGGGCAACCGGCCCCCGGCCCUGUGAUAACUGCAAGAAAUUGGGGCUAAAAUCGGAUGAUCACCGCUUCCCGCUUGGGUGAUGGUGAAAGGGUUUUCCGGCUGGGGGUGGGCCCGCGGCCUAUCAGCUUGUUGGUUGGGUAGUGGGGUACCAAGGCGACGACGGGUAGCCGGCCUGGGAGGGUGACCCGCCACACUGGGCCUGGGGAGCGGCCCAGACUGCUACGGGAGGCAGCAGUGGGGAAUAGUGCGAAAUGGGCGGCAGCCUGACGCAGCGACGCCGCGUGGGGGAUGACGGCCUUCGGGUUGUAACCCUCUUUCGGCAGGGACGAAGCGCAAGUGACGGUACCUGCAGAAGAAGCACCGGCCAACUACGUG
rnacentral:rRNA from 1 species